rnacentral:rRNA from 1 species
UAGUCCACGCCGUAAACGAUGGUCACUAGCUGUUCGGACUUCGGUCUGAGUGGCUAAGCGAAAGUGAUAAGUGACCCACCUGGGGAGUACGUUCGCAAGAAUGAAACUCAAAGGAAUUGACGGGGGCCCGCACAAGCGGUGGAGCAUGUGGUUUAAUUCGAUGAUACGCGAGGAACCUUACCAGGGCUUAAAUGUAAGUUGCAUUAGUUAGAGAUAGCUAUUUCUUCGGACCACUUACAAGGUGCUGCAUGGUUGUCGUCAGCUCGUGCCGUGAGGUGUCAGGUUAAGUCCUAUAACGAGCGCAACCCCUGUUGUUAGUUGCCAGCGAGUGAUGUCGGGGACUCUAACGGGACUGCCGGUGCAAACCGUGAGGAAGGUGGGGAUGACGUCAAAUCAUCACGGCCCUUACGUCCUGGGGCCACACACGUGCUACAAUGGCCGGUACAGAGAGCAGCCAUGUUGCAAAACAGAGC